UUUUUUCUGUCUUUAUUUUUUAAAUUGAUUUCUUUAUUCCUAUAAAUAUUAUCUCAUUUGUGCCUUGGCUCUAUGAUGAUGGGAUACUGAAAAUGGAUAAUAAUGAUUGCAAGAAAACCCUGUGUGAAAAACUCUUCACUCGAGUUUGAGAGUAAGCAUGAGAUAGGAGAGGUUGAGUAGUAUUGGAAACCAAGAAGCUCUU
rnacentral:lncRNA from 1 species